CGAGGAAGACCCUUCAUUAUUGUGGCAGGUUUUUGGCAGUGCCACUGGCCUAGCUCGAUAUUAUCCAGCUUCACCAUGGGUUGAUAAUAGUAGAACUCCAAAUAAGAUUGACCUUUAUGAUGUACGCAGAAGACCAUGGUACAUCCAAGGAGCUGCAUCUCCUAAAGACAUGCUUAUUCUGGUGGAUGUGAGUGGAAGUGUUAGUGGAUUGACACUUAAACUGAUCCGAACAUCUGUCUCCGAAAUGUUAGAAACCCUCUCAGAUGAUGAUUUCGUGAAUGUAGCUUCAUAUGCAGUUCAAGGAGCCAAUAUAUGUUGGUUUAUAUCAAGUAAAGAGCAACACGAUGGAAUGAUCCUGCCAACACGUUAUCCCUGCAUGGACAGUGUUAGUAAGCUCACAUCUGGUUUGACUCAUUCUUCACAGGCAACCCUGUCUCUUAGAUGGACUGGUAGAAUUGCAUAGGAAU
rnacentral:sRNA from 1 species